rnacentral:rRNA from 1 species
UACGUAGGGUGCAAGCGUUGUCCGGAAUUAUUGGGCGUAAAGAGCUCGUAGGCGGUUCGUCGCGUCGGCUGUGAAAUCCCGGAGCUCAACUCCGGGUCUGCAGUCGAUACGGGCGGACUCGAGUUCGGCAGGGGAGACUGGAAUUCCUGGUAUAGCGGUGAAAUGCGCAGAUAUCAGGAGGAACACCGGUGGCGAAGGCGGGUCUCUGGGCCGAUACUGACGCUGAGGAGCGAAAGCGUGGGGAGCGAACAGG